AGAGAUGUGUGAUGACGCAUAUCAAUAAGCGGAGGAAAAGAAACUAGCUAGGAUUCCCUCAGUAACGGCGAGUGAAGCGGGAAGAGCUCAAAUUUGAAAUCUUCAAGGUUCUACCUUGACGAAUUGUAGUUUAAAGAAGUGUUUUCUGUUGGAGUUUUGGUAAAAGUUCUUUGGAAUAGGACAUCAUAGAGGGUGAGAAUCCCGUAUUUGACCAUUAUUUCCAACUUUGUGAUACACUUUCAAAGAGUCGGAUUGUUUGGGAAUGCAGUCCAAAAUGGGUGGUAAAUUUCAUCUAAAGCUAAAUACUGGCGAGAGACCGAUAGCGAACAAGUACCGUGAGGGAAAGAUGAAAAGAACUUUGAAAAGAGAGUUAAACAGUACGUGAAAUUGUCAAAAGGGAAGCGUUUGACACCAGUGUUGUUUUUCCGAAAAUCAAUUACGAAUGUUUUGUUUUUGAGGAGUUAUGACUUCAUCGGCUUGCUCCUUUCUUUAUGAAACUUUCUUAAUGCACUUUUCGGUUAACAAGCCAACAUCAAUUUCUUUUGUUGUAAAAGGGUAUGAGGAAGGUGGCUUUCUUUUCGGAGAAAGUGUUUAUAGCCUUGUGCCUCUGCAAUCGGAGAGAUUGAGGUCUGCAGCGUAGAUCCUUCGGGGUUAGAUACGUUUGUGCUAAGUUAUAGCUUUUCAUAGACAACUUGUUGACUAUGUUGAGUCUUGUAAUCUUACUCGCAGUAUGCUAUUUUACCUACGCUUAGGAUGUUGAUAGUCACAGCGUGUAC
rnacentral:rRNA from 1 species